CCUACGGGGGGCUGCAGUGAGGAAUAUUGGUCAAUGGACGAGAGUCUGAACCAGCCAAGUAGCGUGAAGGAUGACUGCCCUAUGGGUUGUAAACUUCUUUUAUAUGGGAAUAAAAUGUUCCACGUGUGGGAUUUUGUAUGUACCAUAUGAAUAAGGAUCGGCUAACUCCGUGCCAGCAGCCGCGGUAAUACGGAGGAUCCGAGCGUUAUCCGGAUUUAUUGGGUUUAAAGGGAGCGUAGGUGGAUUGUUAAGUCAGUUGUGAAAGUUUGCGGCUCAACCGUAAAAUUGCAGUUGAAACUGGCAGUCUUGAGUACAGUAGAGGUGGGCGGAAUUCGUGGUGUAGCGGUGAAAUGCUUAGAUAUCACGAAAAACUCCGAUUGCGAAGGCAGUUCACUGGACUGCAACUGACACUGAGGCUCGAAAGUGUGGGUAUCAAACAGGAUUAGAUACCCUAGUAGUC
rnacentral:rRNA from 1 species